rnacentral:sRNA from 1 species
AAAAAAGAAUGUACUCCUGUCCCUGCACUCUCUUUCAUCUUUAAUCCACGUGGCAAUGUUCUAUUUCCUAUUGGUCCAAUGGAGUAAAGUCGAUAUUCCAGUUAUCACGCAUUUUCAGAGUAGGAAUCCAAAAAUUGAAGUUGUUAAGGUUUUUGAAACUUAAUUUUCAGUUUUCUGUCUGGUGAUUAUUGGAAUCGGAUUAUUGAUUAUCUUGAUCUUAUUUUUCAUUAUUUUUAACAACGAAAUGAAAAGUGACUCACAUGCAAGACGAUUCUUUCAUAUGUAAGUUUAUGUCUUAAAAAUUGAGAUUUUAAAUUUAAUGCUGCUCAAACCAGCUCAAAUUCUAAUUUUUCCAAAACAUUCUUGCGGGGGUACAAAAUUUUAAUAUCAAUUUUGAUAUUUUCGGUACAAACUUUUUAAAAUUAAGACAAUUGUUUUGGCUGAAUUUUUGGUUUUUAAAUUUUAAAAGUGGAGUAACGCCGGUGGGGACAGUGUUAAAACUACUUCAAUGGUGCCAAAAUGACCGAAUUUCAAAAAAAAAACCUUUCCAAAAAAACGUUUUGAAAAUUUUAGAAGUGUUUUAUUAUGAUAUUCGGUUAUUUUGGCUCAUCAUAAGUGCAUUUAGACAAAAUCCUCACUGGUGCUACCCCAAAUAAAACUUUUCACCAUUUUCCAGUUGGCCACUGGUACAUAUCGCCUUAUCCACCGCCUAUCAGCUCUUCACGCAAAUUGUGAUAUCUCAUUGGAAAACUUACCAGGUUUGUCAACCUAUAUAAUUAAAUUCGUCAGAAAAUUUUUCAGAUCCCAAUCCUCUACUCAUCCUGUGCAACUACCGUCUCUGUUGGCAUUCAUUUAGUUCUGCACUCCAUGUCGGUUUUUUGGAAAGUAUAAUUUUUUAUAAAAUUUAUUCAAAUGUUAUGUUGUUAUGACAUUGGCAAUAUUUGAUUUCAAUACUAAAAAAUCUUUGAACAUUAUUAUUUUUCUCAUCAAUUGAAAUUAUUUUAUUAAUGGUGACUUCCAAAAAAGUGCAAAAGUAUGAAGAAUCAUAUGAGUUGCAACUGAUAUAGAGGCCGCAAUUGAGGACGCCAGAUUUGGUACCUGAAACGUAGAAUUGAAAUUGGGAAUUGAGUAUUGAAUCUGCUAAAUUCUGAGAAAGAACUUUCAUACUUUUAUUGACAAUUGAGAUGCCAAAAGUUGAACAACAAACUGAUAGAUUGUUGCACACGCGAUGUUGAACAGGGGGAGUCUGAAAAUACCUUUAAAACUUGAUUGAGAUUGAUUUUAGCCGAAAGCUUUUUCUCUGGUUUAGGUUCAGGCCUAGGCUUACGCUUUGGCUUAGGCUUAGGCUUAUCCCUAGGGGUACAUUCUAGCUUGGCCUUUUUCCACUUACAAAAUGAAAAACUCCGUCUCUGCCUUUUCGUUUUUAUAUUUUCCGUGCAACAUCCAGACGAAGCCGCCGAACGCGAGAAGUAAUAAACACAAGACGAAAACCAUCAGAAUAAUAGCUGAAAUUAGGUUUGAUUUUCUAAAUUUUGAGUCAAAAUAUUCUGAAACUCACCUCCAACUACAGUAAUUUUUGGAUCGAUUGCAUUGUACCAUUCAAGAAACAAGGUAUAGGUCAUAAUGACAUGAAUUAAAAACGAGAUACCGUGUCCAAUGAGGAGUUUCUUUUUUUGCUGCAAUAUUUUUCAAAAUCCAAUAAAAAUUAUAACUUUGACCCACUCUUUCACAUCGGGAGGAAGGUUAUACUGCAUUUUUGCGUGCUCUUUUUCCCCGUUCGAGGCCUGAACUGUCUCUGAGGCACAAUGGCCGUUCAACGUAUGACGUCCGAGUGAGAAACUUUGCAAGGCUGCGCCAAAGUCCUUGAUUAAUUUUGGGUCCCGAAUGUAUUGCAAAACAGAGGCAAUGUUCUGCGGGAUAUGUUCACUGAAAAUAACUUUUUUUAAAAAUCAUCUUAAACGCCUUUUUGUGUUUUUUUUUCAAACACGUAUGGAUUUCUUUGACUUUUUUGGUAUGAAAAUUGUUGUUUUGGGGACAGAGCGUCGGCGUGAGUCUCGCACUUAAAAUCUUUUUUUUAAUUGACUCACUCUUUGUGAUCUGUUGGUGUCUGUUUUGGGUCGGUUGCACUGAAAAUAGUUACAUUAAUUAUUCGAUUUGUUCAACUUUUCGAAUUUUCGAAUAAACCGUCAAAUAUGAUUUUUAAAAAAGAACUCACUAUCAGCAUUAUUUUGUACUUCAUGAGUAGUAUGUAUUUGUCCGCUCCGGUGCAGCUUUCAACCCACUUUUUGGGUCUCAUGUGUCGGAGUACAGCUGAUUCCUUCACAUUAUCUUCACAUUUUUCUGACAUGGACAAUAUUUUCAUCCAGUUAGAUAACAUUUUCCAGGCAAGAACAUUUCCAUAUUUCUUGAAAAUAAUCAGUAUUGUUCCAAUUCGACUCCGAAAAUGAUUCAGAAUUUCAUCGUUGGAACAUAUUUGGUGACUUUUGUUUAGAAUGUUCUCAAUAUUCUUGAUUGUUUUCGAGAUUAUUUGAUAAUCCGGAAAACUCGUUUGAUCGGUUCGAAUGUCCAAGUCGAAGACUUCGAACUCGUAUUUUUCAAUUUUUUCAGUGCAAUUCUGACUUCUUUGUGCAAGUUGAUCUACUAUCGUGUUUUCCAUCUUGACUUUUGAAAAAAAAAAUUAAAUUGACAAGCUGCAGACUUUUCAAUUAAUGACAGAAGAUGUGUUUUGCAAAGGUGUUUGAAGAAAUUUGCUGAAUUGUCCGAUUUGAUGCUGAUGAGAAUCAGACUUUUUGACGUAGCUCUCUCUUUUCUGAUGGUUUGAAAAAAAAACUAACGAAACAAAGAUUCCAAUUGGUUGUUGGUGUUGUAGCGGUAGAUGUAGUGGAAUGAUGAUAAAAUUAGCUCUUUGAUUCAGUACUUGUUGAGGUUAGAAUAGGGUGAGUUCCCAUGUCCCUUUCUUUUUCCCUCGGUUAGUUGUCUUCGUUGUCUCUUUUUCCGUCUUGUCCUCGGGGUCAUUAUUCAUUUUGCCAAUGGAGGUAUCUCUUUUUUUCGUGCACUCUCUCAUUGAGAGUAGUACUCCACAAUAAACAAUCGGAGCGAAAGUGUAGAUAACAGCAACGUCUCGGACCAAUUGUGUAAACCAGAUUGGUUUUUGCAAUUUUGCAACUCGAUUGUAUAAACGUGACGGAACAACUUUUCUUUCAUCGAUGAGUUUAAUCAUCUUUACACUGAUGAAGACCUUGCGAGAUAAGAAUAAAUUUUUGUGGAGUAUCAACUCUCGUUUUUUCCUUAUCUCAUUUCUUCGGGAAUUCCAGAAACAAAUCAUUUUGUUGUUCCUUUUCGCUGUCUCUGCUAUUAAGAAACUGACUAUGUCUCAAAUAGGGGAAACUUCGAAGCAGCUUUUCCAUUUGGCGUUUCAAAAAAAAUUUGUGGAAUCUUUUCUGAAUGGGAAAACACGGAAAUAAUUCAAUGCGCGGCUUACAUACUUGACGACUUAAAAAAAAACCUGGAGACAAAUGUGUUGUGUCAAGUCUUGCCAUUCGUCGGACUAAGAUGCAGUGAAUCUUUUGAGUCUACGACGGGAAUUUUACUGAUCAAACUGGAAUCAAUGAAGAUGAAUUGUGGAGGUAGAAGAGUGAAUUGUAUUCCCACUGUUAAUUAGAGCAUUUUUUCCAAUUACUCCCUAUAUUAAUUAACGGGUAAACAAGGAACGAAUGUGAUGCAUAUUAUCACGUCUGACAAUAAGCAUGCUAUUUGAGAUUCACUGGACUAGAAACUCAAAAGUUGUUGUGAGGUUUGAAUCAACAAUUCUCAAAAAGAGUCUACUCUGACUAGCUCUUUUCUUGAAAUGGACCAAAUUCAAACUCUCGUUCCAUAGUUUUGAAAACAAUACACAACUGAAUCAGCUUUUGUUUUUUUCUGGAGAGCGUAGAUUUUUCAUGGGCUUUUGAAAAAAAAAAUUAUUUUAUCGUCCUUUGGAUGAGUUUCUUUGAAGAGAGAGAGUGUGUGUGUUUUUUUUGUAUUUUUUCUUGGGUUUUUAGAGAUUAAAGGAAAUAGAGAGAAAUUAAUUUUACUUGAUUUUUAGAAAAAUUUAGUGAAAUUGAAAAGAAAAAAAUGGUAAGACUCAAAAGACUAGAACAUCGAACCAAACUCUGUCUGCCUUGAUGGAAUAGAGCACAGACACCACUAAACUAGUUUAGAAUGGAAGGAUCUCACCGAAAACUUUUCAGAUGAAAUAAAAGUUUUUAGGUGGAAUUUUUUUCUUUUGACUUUGAAGAGAGAAAAUCAUAUGAAGAUGAAAUCUCAGUCAAAAGCUCGGUGGUACCUACAUGUUACCGUACGCGAUCGUGCCAGAUCUCGUAGAUAAAAUAAUAGAAAACAUAUGAAUAUAUCGAUAUGUUUAUUGAGAUGAGGGGGAGAAGGACGGGUGUCCGUCUCCCAGCCUCCCGAUAGAAUGAUGUUAAUUCUCAUGGAAUAGAAUGUCUCUAUUCUCUCGUGCUCUCUCACCCCACCAACUGUCGUUGACAGAUGGCAAUGAUCAAGGGCACUCGAUAAAUAGAAACCGAGAAGCAGUAUAGAACUGACCUCUCACACUACUAUGCGGCUGCCCCGCUCCCGACCUUUAUGAUAACCCCACUUCCUAUAUUAUUCUUUUUAUGUAUUGCAUAUAUUCUAUUAUAUAUAUAUAAACAUCCUAUAACCCCAAGGAAUUCCAGGUCGGUAUAUUUAACCUCAACGAGGUACUUUAGGCUAGGAAUAAGAACCACUCUCAACCCUAGCGAGAGUUAGAUAAAGGUUGAUUAUAAUAUUAGGUGCCGAGAGCACGCCUAUAACAUGAAGGUACCACCGAGCCAGGAAAUAAUUUUUUGGGGUGCCCCUGUAUGUAAGAUCGCAGGUUCCAAAAUUGUUUCUGCGAACUCAGAGGAGUCAGGAGUUCACCUAACUAUUCCCUAGUAAGUGUGCCAUAACCGCUACACCAAGGCCACACCAAUAUCUAUUUGGAUUCCCCCAUUCCUAUCACCAUCAAACCCCUUCCCAUCUAUUAUUCUAUUCUCGUCUGGUUGGAAGAGCAUGGAGACAGUUUCCAGUACACAUCACGCCUCUGCAAAACGGACAAAGCAGAUUCUCUUCAAACGGUCAAGGAAUUCCCGACGUUGGACCAACUCCCCCUGAUGCGGCUUGAGUUUUUUUUCUUUUGAUUAUUAGUUGUUCUUUAUUGAUUCAAUCUCUAUUCUAGCCUGAGGGCAUCAUGAGCCAAGUUUGAGCCAUUUUAUUGUGUUGAGUAAGCAAAGUUCCCCGCACAUUUUUUUUUGAGUAUUGAGAAUACACUAGUUUGAAGAGUUCCCCAUUUUCUUUGUAUUGUAUGUAGAUAAGUUACUGUUGAGUAAAAUGACCUCUAAUUAUAUUGUUAAGUCCGUUUUCUUAGAAUUUCACAUUUUGAAAUAAGUAUUUGUGUCUGCCUGAGGCAAUAGAAAUUAAAGAGACUCUGUUGUAUUGCAUUUUAAUGAGAUGAGAGUAGGAUUUUAUUUGGUAUAGUUUUUUCAUAUGUUGUUUAUCCUUCUUGAAAGGGCUUUAAACUCUUGCACUAAAACACUAGCGCUUUGAGGACAAAGCACUUUUGAGAGGGUAGGAUGGCGUGCCGUUACCGUCAUCUGUUAUUUUUCUUUUUGGGAAUCUGAGUUCUGUAAGCCUAACAUCAAAAGCUUCGGGACGAAGCUGCUCAAAAAGGGCGGCAUGUGAGAGGUCAGUUCUAUACUGCUUCUCGGUUUCUAUUUAUCGAGUGCCCUUGAUCAUUGCCAUCUGUCAACGACAGUUGGUGGGGUGAGAGAGCACGAGAGAAUAGAGACAUUCUAUUCCAUGAGAAUUAACAUCAUUCUAUCGGGAGGCUGGGAGACGGACACCCGUCCUUCUCCCCCUCAUCUCAAUAAACAUAUCGAUAUAUUCAUAUGUUUUCUAUUAUUUUAUCUACGAGAUCUGGCACGAUCGCGUACGGUAACAGUAGGGCGACUCCCACCAGACUAACUUGUGUGCGCCUGCACUUAGGGGCGGGCCGCCAUGGAAGUAAAUGAAGAAGGAAGAUAGGCAUGCCUGAUAGGAGGCUUGCCAUCGUAUCCUUCCACAGUUUAUUUAUUUACUCUUCCUUUGAUAAAAUGUCUGAAACG